rnacentral:lncRNA from 1 species
UUUUUUCGUGGCAUAGCUUUAGGAGAAUUAUUUACAUACUAUUUCUCUAGCAUGUAUUAACACAAAAAUUAUUAUUGACUGGCCUCAGAUAGUUGUGACUUCUACAUAAUUCCAAUUACGAUUGCUUAACAUAACGCUAAAUUUAUCCCGAAAGCAAGUCAUUUUUAUAAGUGGGAUUGUAAGUUUUUUAAUCCUCAUGGUAUUGUGUGAAAAAUAUUGUUUCCUUUUCACUUAUGAGAGCUAGUAACAUACUUGUUGAUUUUAU